GGACCCACUGGUGGUGUGCAGCUCAGAGCUGCUGUAUUUUAUCAGCAUCACUCCCAGAGCACUCUCCUGGUGGCAUUUGGUGCCGGAGCCGAGCGCUGCCCAGCAGUAAUUAAUGGGGCCCUUUCCUACCCCUGAGCUCCACAUUAGUGGACUAUCAAUUAUUGAAGGCGGGUUGUACAUUUCUGAGCUGGUGAAUAACCGAGGGGGACUGCUGAGAGUCCAGAAGUGGCUGUCAUCUUCUCAUUAGAUCCCUGAGGAGAGUUGUGAGGAGACCAACCACCGAGGGCAAACUUACCCUAAACAUUCUGAGCUGUGGGCUUUGAGCAGAGUCUCAGGUCCCACCAGCACCACAACCUCCAAACCCCCAGGGAUAAAACAUGCUUUGGGAAACUUGUAAUCCCUCCAUCCUCCUGCCACGAAGCCCUGGAGCUAAGAGGGUUUUGAA